CAAAUAAAUAACAGAAGCAAUUUAAAAAUGCAAUUAAAGAGGGUAAACUAGAGACAAAUCUCAAAUAAGUUAAACCAACUAAACCCGUACCUUUAGAGUGGUUUUGCUCUGUGCUAUAAACAGUGGCCAGACAACACCGCGUGAUAUGGAAAUCCAACAGAAACCGCGUGAUAUGGAAAAUAUCUGAAAUAUAUAAAGAACAGCAAUUAAUCGACGGUAAAUACCAAAGAAACAAUCAAAUAAAUACGAUGGUAACUAUAAAUAAACAACAGAAUAAAAAAUUACCUUUAAACCUUUCAAAACCAAAGAAUUUUCGGAGAAGAAAUUUAGCAAACCUCGCACGUGUAAGAACGUCGCAGAAAGAACAAAGAUCGGAAGCCGGACCACAGAAUAGAAAAUAGACCAGAAGCCUCACUCAGCC